GCGGUUAGACUUUGAAUUUAAGUAAAGAAGUAUUAGGGAAAGUUAAGUUGAUAGUUUACAUGAGGUUAAGAAAAUAAAAGGUGAAAUUGAAUUAUUUUUUUUAAUAUAUAGUGUUUAAACUAAAGUUGAAGCUAAAAAUUGUUAGAGUUAAACUAGGAUUAGAUACCCUAUUAUACUAAUAAAUUAUAAAUGAACCUAAAUUAUUAAUAGUUAUAGUCUUUAAACUUGAAGAAUUUGGCGGUGGUUUAGUCUUGUUAGAGGAACCUGUUUUUGAAUCGAUACACCACGUUAAAUUUUACUUGCUUUAUUAAGUUUGUAUACCGUCAUUAGCAGAUGAUUUUCAAAGAGUUAAUUGUUAAAUUUUAUAUAAAUAUAAAUAAACUUAGAUCAAGGUGCAGCUAAUAGGCAAGUUAAAAUGGGUUACAAUAAAAUUUAUUUAUUACGGGAUUAAAUUAUAAGAAGUAAUAUUAUGAAGGAGGAUUUAAUUGUAAUGAAAGUUUAAUAAGCUUGAAAGAUAUAAAGCUCUAGAUCAUGUACAUAUCGCCCGUCGCUCUCAUUAUACAGAUGAGAUAAGUCGUAA
rnacentral:rRNA from 1 species